AAUAAAUUAAGCCAGAAUGGAAAACAGAAAUGGGAAAAGGCCUAACAAUGGCUAAGCUUUUAAUCAAUAAAACUGUGGUUUUUCCAAUGGACAGAUAAAAUCCUGCCUUAGAAAUUUCUCUGAAGCACUUAUUGGAUGACGUAUGCUGUAUCCCUUUUCUGAAGAGCACCUUAUACAAAUGGAGGCUGUGGACACCACUUCACCUAAACUGAAGAUGUUAUUUUCUCAAACUUCAGUUCCCCAGAAUUCAUCAUGGCAUGGUCUUGGAUCAGACUCUUAGCAUCAAUGUCCUGGCAGGAUCAUCGUCUUCAUUUACAACAGGCUAUCCAAACAAGCUAUGUUCAGAUGAACACAAUAUCCAGACCAUCUACUGAUUUCCAUGGGUUCCUUGGCCAGCAGAAUGGGAACUACUGCAUCAGCUUGUGGAGACAGUGUGCACACAUCUUCAUGCACCACAGUUGUUGGUUCCUUAUUUUGUUUCCAAUAUUCCAAGUGGUUCCCAUCAUCGUCCACAGUUAAACCCUAGCUAAUUAAAACAUGGAUAUAUGA